GACGAACGCUGGCGGCGUGCUUAACACAUGCAAGUCGAACGGAAAGGCCCUGCUUUUGUGGGGUGCUCGAGUGGCGAACGGGUGAGUAACACGUGAGUAACCUGCCCUUGACUUUGGGAUAACUUCAGGAAACUGGGGCUAAUACCGGAUAGGAGCUCCUGCUGCAUGGUGGGGGUUGGAAAGUUUCGGCGGUUGGGGAUGGACUCGCGGCUUAUCAGCUUGUUGGUGGGGUAGUGGCUUACCAAGGCUUUGACGGGUAGCCGGCCUGAGAGGGUGACCGGCCACAUUGGGACUGAGAUACGGCCCAGACUCCUACGGGAGGCAGCAGUGGGGAAUAUUGCACAAUGGGCGGAAGCCUGAUGCAGCAACGCCGCGUGCGGGAUGACGGCCUUCGGGUUGUAAACCGCUUUCGCCUGUGACGAAGCGUGAGUGACGGUAAGGGGUAAAGAAGCACCGGCUAACUACG
rnacentral:rRNA from 1 species